UGAGGAAUAUUGGUCAAUGGGCGAGAGCCUGAACCAGCCAAGUCGCGUGAAGGAUGACUGUCUUAUGGAUUGUAAACUUCUUUUAUACGGGAAUAACAAGAGCCACGUGUGGCUCCCUGCAUGUACCGUAUGAAUAAGCAUCGGCUAACUCCGUGCCAGCAGCCGCGGUAAUACGGAGGAUGCGAGCGUUAUCCGGAUUUAUUGGGUUUAAAGGGUGCGUAGGCGGCCUGUUAAGUCAGCGGUGAAAUCUAGGAGCUUAACUCCUAAAUUGCCAUUGAUACUGGCGGGCUUGAGUGUAGAUGAGGUAGGCGGAAUGCGUGGUGUAGCGGUGGAAUGCAUAGAUAUCACGCAGAACUCCGAUUGCGAAGGCAGCUUACUACGGUACAACUGACGCUGAAGCACGAAAGCGUGGGUAUCAAACAGGAUUAGAUACCCUGGUAGUCCACGCAGUAAACGAUGAUAACUGGGCGUAUGCGAUAUACAGUAUGCUCCUAAGCGAAAGCGUUAAGUUAUCCACCUGGGGAGUACGCCGGNNCGGU
rnacentral:rRNA from 1 species